rnacentral:rRNA from 1 species
GAUGAACGCUGGCGGCGUGCCUAAUACAUGCAAGUCGAGCGAACAGACGAGGAGCUUGCUCCUCUGACGUUAGCGGCGGACGGGCGAGUAACACGUGGAUAACCUACCUAUAAGACUGGGAUAACUUCGGGAAACCGGAGCUAAUACCGGAUAAUAUAUUGAACCGCAUGGUUCAAUAGUGAAAGACGGUUUUGCUGUCACUUAUAGAUGGAUCCGCGCCGCAUUAGCUAGUUGGUAAGGUAACGGCUUACCAAGGCAACGAUGCGUAGCCGACCUGAGAGGGUGAUCGGCCACACUGGAACUGAGACACGGUCCAGACUCCUACGGGAGGCAGCAGUAGGGAAUCUUCCGCGAUGGGCGAAAGCUUGACGGAGCAACGCCGCGUGAGUGAUGAAGGUCUUCGGAUCGUAAAACUCUGUUAUUAGGGAAGAACAAAUGUGUAAGUAACUAUGCACGUCUUGACGGUACCUAAUCAGAAAGCCACGGCUAACUACGUG